CCCCCGGCCAAAUCAUGGGAGAUUUGUCAAAUUUGGGGUUGCCAUCACAUAAACCAAAGCACAACAUCUUCAGUACGAUUUUUAGAUUAUCCCUAAUAGCUGUAAGGAUAAUGCGCUUUCUUCCCAGCACUCUGCACCCCGAGCAGACUAGUUAACAGCAACUUAAGUGUGAUAAUGGCAAUUACACCAAUAUGUUCCUUUUGUACAACCAAAAGGUACUGCUCCAGACAGCUGAAGACGCUAGAUAAAUAAACUGCUGAAAAUUACCGGAAAGUAAUGAUGUGCAAUUUUAGGACCACUAAACACGCCUGUUUACAAAACGCCCAAAAGCUCAUUUAAGAAUAACUGAAAUCUAUAUGAAUUACUUAAUUGCGGGGGGUUUCAUAAGGCAUACCAUAUCUACUUGGUUCCUUCGUUAAAUGAAAGGAGACUGCAGCACGAGUGAGGACAUCCUGCUCUAUAGGCACAGCACUUCCAGAGCUUGAAAAGAAAAUAAUAAUAAUAAUAACAAUAAAAAAUAAAAGCACCCUCCCAAUCAUCCAAUGGAGAACCACCCCCACCAGAAAGGGGGGGGGUUGGGGGAAGCUACCUACCAAACACUUAAAACACGUUUCUGAAAACAGAAAAUCUUUAUUUCCAUGUCUGUACCAUUAACUGGAAGGUAUGGAAGGAAAGAGUAGAGGAAUAGGAAACCAAGAUAUAGGAAGUUCUUUUUUUUUUUUUUUGGUGUUUUUUGUUUGUUUGUCUGUUUUCUCCUGCCAGAGACACUGAGCAGCGCAGUCCCUCUGUCCCUAAGAGGCAUCUGGCCCCUGGAAGAGGUCCCAUCACGCUGACAGAUAACUGGAUUUGGGUUGGCUUUUGGGCUGGUGGAUUAUGAGCAUUGAUUUGCAGAGAUAAUGAAAGGCCAGGCCGGCCGCCUCCCCUUCAUACACAUGGAAAUAGUCACAAACGGCCCAAACCUGCACACGUUUGGCCAUGUACAACAACAGCGGCACACGUUCCACACCGCCACCAGAACGCUUUGCCGUAUCUGUUAUCAAACUAUUUUACGAGAACAGAAAGGAAAUGGAAGCUUAAGGCCGGUGGUGCUCCGAACUUCUCGAGGCACUCCGCACAGCACCCCUCGGCACGAGGCCACGAGGAGCGGGCGGGUCGGCUCACGGGCUCCGCACGAGUGGUCCCGCACCACACGGCCCCGUCUGUCCGCACAUCCCCCCGCGCGGUGCGGGUCCGGAGCCCCCAGCAGGCAGCGGGAGCCGUCACUAAAGGUCACUUUUCCUUUUCUUGGAACAAACCAUUAAUCAAUAGAAUAGAAUUGUCUGAGCGCUUGCAGCAAACGGACCCUGGUUUUCACUCUCGUAAUUGCAAAACAGCCGAAGUUCAGAAACAUCACCCACACCCACCUCCCCAUUUUGCCCCCUUUCAAUCCCUGCUGCCCUUUGGGCCUCCGCUUGGAAGCAAAUGGAAGACGAACUGAAGUUUUCUCAAUUGAGCCGGAGCCGAGAGCCCUUUGAUAUGCUAAUACCCCCCUUCAAACGGUACGGAUUCACACUCGCAUUAAUUCCAACAAUUUGUGCAGAACGAUGAGAAAUAGCACCUCUUUGCGGGGGGGG
ensembl:lncRNA